rnacentral:rRNA from 1 species
GACGAACGCUGGCGGCGUGCCUAACACAUGCAAGUCACGGGGGUAGCAAUACCAACCGGCGAACGGGUGAGCAACACGUGAGCAAUCUGCCGAUCUCUGGGGGAUAGCCGGCCCAACGGCCGGGUAAUACCGCAUACGCUCAUCGGGGGACAUCCCCUGGUGAGGAAACCUCCGGGGGAGAUCGAGGAGCUCGCGUCCUAUCAGCUAGUUGGCGGGGUAACGGCCCACCAAGGCGACGACGGGUAGCUGGUCUGAGAGGAUGGCCAGCCACAUUGGGACUGCGACACGGCCCAGACUCCUACGGGAGGCAGCAGUGGGGAAUAUUGCGCAAUGGACGAAAGUCUGACGCAGCGACGCCGCGUGUGGGAUGAAGCUCUUCGGGGGUGUAAACCACUGUUGCCCCGAGACGAAACCUCCCUUUUUCGAGGGGACUGACGGUAUCGGGUGAGGAAGCACCGGCUAACUCUGUGCCAGCAGCCGCGGUAAUACAGAGGGUGCGAGCGUUGUCCGGAAUCACUGGGCGUAAAGGGCGCGUAGGUGGCUUGUUAAGCGUGUGGUGAAAAGCCCGGGGCUCAACCCCGGGUCUGCCGUGCGAACUGGCGAGCCUUGAGCAGAGUAGAGCGGGUGGAAUUCCGGGUGUAGCGGUGGAAUUGCGUAGAUAUCCGGAAGAACACCGGUGGCGAAGGCGGCCCGCUGGGCUCUUGCUGACACUGAGGCGCGACAGCGU